rnacentral:lncRNA from 1 species
CAGUAUUGGGGCAGGGAGAGCAGGGAUCUGAGGGUCCAAAGGCAGGAGGUGGGUCAAGCCAGAAGACUGAAAAUAGGGAGCAACUGGCAUGCACGAGGCUUCUCCGUGGGUAUGGCUAGGGUGGAACAGAGGGACAGCCGGGAAAGGAGAGGGUAUCAGAGGACGAGAAUCGAGAAGACUGGAGGAAAAAACAUAGGCCUAGGUGAGAACAUCUGGGAAGCAAUGAGCAAAGUGGGAGAGAUGUGUUAGAGAAGAAACUUGGGAUGGAGUGCUGUCUACAGUACUAGUUGGGGUAAGAAGUGUAAGGAACUUGGGAAGCAAGGCUGGGAAGGAAGGGAUUCACUGUAUAAGAGUCCUAAGAAAGAAAUGCAAUCUAGGAAGCCCUAGGGAAGACAUCCUGAUGGAACUACAAACUUGGGGAGCACUCCCUGCUUCUUCAGUACUAAAACAGCCCUCCAUGUGCCUUUUUGUAUAGACCCAUCCCCAGUUAUUUCCUUACCCCUUGUCUGCUAGAGUUGUAGAUUUUCACUUUUAAAUUUUUAUUGGAUUUCUGUUUUGUUUUCUUUUGUUUAAAUUAUGGCUAGUCCUGUCUUGGGGACAGUAGAAUGUUUAGUGGAAUAUGGACCUUUAGAUAUGAGAUAUUUGAGAACUAAGGUAACCCAUUUACCCCUUCAGAUCAAGAAUUUACUUGACUCUGCUUCCAGGAAGAUUUGAUGCAUUACCAACCACUGUGUGUCCAGCUUUGCAUACCUUAUUUGGCCUCUUCUCUCAUAAGCAAAAUUAUCUGUGUGAGUCUUAUCUAUUCUUACAUGUUUAGUAACUUCUAUUGUACCUGUCUUAAUGGUCUAAGACCUCAAAGCAUCCAUGGUAACUUUGGUAUCCUCCUGACCUGCUCACCUGUCAGCUUUAGGCCUUCCAUCCCUAUGGCCAUCCAGAAGACCAUUGGGACCUGGCUAUCUCUCUUCACUGAUGCUGCUUAUUUUGCUUGUGUGAAAGUACACAUAUCCUUAAGAAGCAUGAAAAACAGGUGUCUGACUUCCUUGAAUAUUUCUAGUUAAGUAGGAUUUUGAGGAAAGGACCAGAUAAAAGGCUAAGUAAGAUAAUCUUUGAAAGCAUAGUGCCUUGAUUAAUAGGCAUGUAAGAAAUGCCUA